AUAUUUGGUUUAAAAUCUUUUAUUUAAUACUGAUAAAAACGACGUAUUAUAAUAACCUUAUACAGUUAUAAGAUGGGAUUAUAAACUCUUUAGUGAUGGAAGUACAUAUAAAUCUUUCGUCGCCACAAACCACACCGUAAUAAGUAUAACAGUUUUCACCUCAAACCACAAUGUCUUUCUGAGUCAUAAUCUUCAGGUAAUCAGUGUGGUUUCCCUUUGUUUUCUACAUAGAAAGCUGCUGUUACGGGUAGUUCAAACUAAUGUAGAGCACCAAGACAAGAUUACAGUACGUGUCACUCGGUGCAGUACAACUUGAAUAUGCGGCAGAAAGAUAUAUGACAUAAUAGAUUCAUAGGAAUAUAUUUUAGACACGUCUUUGAAUUAAUAGCACUUAGUAAUGUACUUGAACCAGAAGCAUGUUUUCAUCACAGACUUUUAUUAACCUUCCCAGGAAAAAAUCAUAUGCUUACACAGAUUUCUCGAAAUAAAGUUGCCUGUAAGUUUUUUUUU
rnacentral:lncRNA from 1 species